rnacentral:rRNA from 1 species
CAGUAGCCGCGGUAAUACGGAGGGGGCUAGCGUUGUUCGGAAUUACUGGGCGUAAAGCGCACGUAGGCGGCUUGGUAAGUUAGAGGUGAAAGCCUGGAGCUCAACUCCAGAAUUGCCUUUAAGACUGCCGAGCUAGCAGGUGAGAGAGGUAAGUGGAAUUCCGAGUGUAGAGGUGAAAUUCGUAGAUAUUCGGAAGAACACCAGUGGCGAAGGCGGCUUACUGGCUCAUACUGGACGCUGAGGUGCGAAAGCGUGGGGAGCAAACAGGAUUAGAUACCCGCGUAGUCCUUGUCUCUUAUAC